UCGGACCUUGAGACCGGCGCACGGGUGCGUAACGCGUAUGCAAUCUACCUUUUACAGAGGGAUAGCCCAGAGAAAUUUGGAUUAAUACCUCAUAGUAUUAUGACUCGGCAUCGAUAUAUUAUUAAAGUCACAACGGUAAAAGAUGAGCAUGCGUCCCAUUAGCUAGUUGGUAAGGUAACGGCUUACCAAGGCUACGAUGGGUAGGGGUCCUGAGAGGGAGAUCCCCCACACUGGUACUGAGACACGGACCAGACUCCUACGGGAGGCAGCAGUGAGGAAUAUUGGACAAUGGGCGCAAGCCUGAUCCAGCCAUGCCGCGUGCAGGAUGACGGUCCUAUGGAUUGUAAACUGCUUUUAUACGAGAAGAAACACUACUUCGUGAAGUAGCUUGACGGUAUCGUAAGAAUAAGGAUCGGCUAACUCCGUGCCAGCAGCCGCGGUAAUACGGAGGAUCCAAGCGUUAUCCGGAAUCAUUGGGUUUAAAGGGUCCGUAGGCGGUUUAAUAAGUCAGUGGUGAAAGCCCAUCGCUCAACGGUGGAACGGCCAUUGAUACUGUUAAACUUGAAUUAUUAGGAAGUAACUAGAAUAUGUAGUGUAGCGGUGAAAUGCUUAGAGAUUACAUGGAAUACCAAUUGCGAAGGCAGGUUACUACUAAUGGAUUGACGCUGAUGGACGAAAGCGUGGGUAGCGAACA
rnacentral:rRNA from 1 species